AGCGAACGUUAGCGGCGCGCCUAACACAUGCAAGUCGCACGAGAAAGGGCUUCGGCCCCGGUACAGUGGCGCACGGGUGAGUAACACGUGGGUAACCUUCCCCAGAGUGGUGGAUAACCUGCCGAAAGGCGGGCUAAUACAGCAUACGACCGGUUGGCUUCGGGCGAGUGGUGAAAUCAGGCCUCUGGAUACAAGCUUGCGCUCUAGGAUGGGCCCGCGUCCCAUCAGCUAGUUGGUGAGGUAACGGCUCACCAAGGCUACGACGGGUAGCUAGUCUGAGAGGAUGGCCAGCCACACUGGAACUGAGACACGGUCCAGACUCCUACGGGAGGCAGCAGUGGGGAAUCUUGCGCAAUGGACGAAAGUCUGACGCAGCGACGCCGCGUGGGCGACGAAGGCCUUCGGGUUGUAAAGCCCUGUGGGGCGGGACGAACACACUCUAUUCGAACAGGGUAGGGUGCUGACGGUACCGCCUUAGCAAGCACCGGCUAACUCUGUGCCAGCCGCCGCAGUAAUAC
rnacentral:rRNA from 1 species